GCUCAGAAGAACGCUGGCGGCGUGCCCCCACAUGCAAGUCGAACGAGAAAGUGGAGCAAUCCAUGAGUAAAGUGGCGACCGGGUGAGCAACACGUGACUAACCUACCCUCGAGUGGGGGAUAACUCCGGGAAACCGGAGCUAAUACCGCAUAACAUCGCAAGAUCAAAGCAGCAAUGCGCUUGAGGAGGGGGUCGCGGCUGAUUAGCUAGUUGGUAGGGUAAUGGCCUACCAAGGCUGAGAUCGGUAUCCGGCCUGAGAGGGCGCACGGACACACUGGAACUGAAACACGGUCCAGACUCCUACGGGAGGCAGCAGUGGG
rnacentral:rRNA from 1 species